rnacentral:rRNA from 1 species
UGAGUAGAGUGGCGCACGGGUGAGUAAUGCAUCGGAACGUGUCCUGUAGUGGGGGAUAACCUAGCGAAAGCUAGGCUAAUACCGCAUACGAUCUACGGAUGAAAGCGGGGGACCUUCGGGCCUCGCGCGAUUGGAGCGGCCGAUGUUAGAUUAGGUAGUUGGUGGGGUAAAGGCUCACCAAGCCGACGAUCUAUAGCUGGUCUGAGAGGACGACCAGCCACACUGGAACUGAGACACGGUCCAGACUCC